CCCCAGGGCGGUCGGCCUGCCGCCCACCACGUAGGCUCUGCAGGGAAACAGAGUUCCACAGGCGUCGUUGCCCUCCGCCUUCAGCCCUCUGCGGGUUCGAUCCCGGCCACCCAGGUGGAAGUGCCGCCUAAGGUACAAAAUUGACCCUGCGCCACGCUAGAUCGACCGUCUCCUUGGCCCAAAUGUUACAUUCACAACCACUGCGCCAGGAAAGUUGUUUGAGAUAUUUCGCAGACCCUGCACUUGAUGGAUCAGCUGGUGCCACCCAGACAGAGAAAAUGGCUCAUCUGAUCUUGUGGCCUCCACCCAGGAACUGACUCAGCACAGAGGACGGUUUCAACUGCCUAUGAUUUCAUCUCCAACCCAACCAAUCAGCACUCUCGACUCACUGGUCUUUCCCUCACCUACCAAGAAUUAUCCUUAAACACUCUGAUCCCUGAAUGUGGAGAGACUGAUAUGAGUAAUAAUAAAACUCCAUCUU